GUGUUUGCUUCAGUAGCACAUAUACUAAAAUUGGAAUGAUACAGAGAAGAUUAGCAUGGUCCCUGCACAAGGAUGACAUGCAAAUAUGUGAAGUAUUCCAUAUUUUU
rnacentral:snRNA from 1 species